UACGUAGGGUGCGAGCGUUGUCCGGAAUUACUGGGCGUAAAGAGCUCGUAGGUGGUUUGUCGCGUUGUUCGUGAAAACCGGGGGCUUGACCCUCGGCGUGCGGGCGAUACGGGCAGACUGGAGUACUGCAGGGGAGACUGGAAUUCCUGGUGUAGCGGUGGAAUGCGCAGAUAUCAGGAGGAACACCGGUGGCGAAGGCGGGUCUCUGGGCCGAUACUGACGCUGAGGAGCGAAAGCGUGGGGAGCGAACAGG
rnacentral:rRNA from 1 species